GUCGAGGGGCAUCAUGGCGGUCGCUUGCGACCGCUGAUGGCGACCGGUGCACGGGUGCGUAACGCGUAUCGAACCUGCCGCAUACCCGGGGAUAGCCUUGCGAAAGCAAGAUUAAUACCCGAUGUUCUCACUGUUCCGCAUGUUACGGUAGCAAAGAAUUUCGGUAUGCGAUGGCGAUGCGUCCCAUUAGCUAGUUGGCGGGGUAACGGCCCACCAAGGCUCCGAUGGGUAGGGGUUCUGAGAGGAAGGUCCCCCACACUGGAACUGAGACACGGUCCAGACUCCUACGGGAGGCAGCAGUGAGGAAUAUUGGUCAAUGGACGCAAGUCUGAACCAGCCAAGUAGCGUGCAGGAUGACGGCCCUCCGGGUUGUAAACUGCUUUUAGUUGGGAAUAAAAGGGGGCUCGUGAGCCCCGUAUUGUAUGUACCAUCAGAAAAAGGACCGGCUAAUUCCGUGCCAGCAGCCGUGGUAAUACGGAAGGUCCGGGCGUUAUCCAGAUUUAUUGGGUUUAAAGGGAGCGUAGGCCGGCUUUUAAGUCAGCUGUGAAAGUCCGCGGCUCAACCGUGGAAUUGCAGUUGAAACUGGAGGCCUUGAGUGCACACAGGGAUGCCGGAAUUCAU
rnacentral:rRNA from 1 species